rnacentral:lncRNA from 1 species
AGAUAUAACAAGAAUGUGUCCACAGUACACGGAUGCCCCACUCACACUAUCAUUUUCUAUGUUUAAAGGACUGUGAAAUUGGAAUAAAUUCUCUAAUUUGGCAUUAAAAUUAGAAUGAUCUUAUCAAAGGGAACAUGCAUACUAAGUUUCAAGUUGAUUGGACUUCUACUUUAUCAAAAACUACCUUGACCAAAAACUUUAACCUGAAAUUUGCACUAUCAUUUUCUAUGUUCAGUGAACCGUAAAAUUGGGGUCAAAACUCUAAUUUGGCAUUUAAAUUAGAAAGAUCAUAUCAUAGGGCACAUGUAUACUAAGUUUCAAGUUGAUUGGACUUCAACUUCAUCAAAAACUACCUUGACCAAAAACUUUAACCUGAAGCCAAAAACUUUAACCUGAAAUUUGCACUAUCAUUUUCUAUGUUCAGUGAACCGUAAAAUUGGGGUCAAAACUCUAAUUUGGCAUUUAAAUUAGAAAGAUCAUAUCAUAGGGCACAUGUAUACUAAGUUUCAAGUUGAUUGGACUUCAACUUCAUCAAAAACUACCUUGACCAAAAACUUUAACCUGAAGCCAAAAACUUUAACCUGAAAUUUGCACUAUCAUUUUCUAUGUUCAGUGAACCGUAAAAUUGGGGUCAAAACUAAUUUGGCAUUUAAAUUAGAAAGAUCAUAUCAUAGGGCACAUGUAUACUAAGUUUCAAGUUGAUUGGACUUCAACUUCAUCAAAAACUACCUCGACCAAAAACUUUAACCUGAAGCGGGACAGACGGACGAACGGACGAACGAACAGACGGACGAACGGACGCACAGACCAGAAAACAUAAUGCCCAUAAAUGGGGCAUAAAAACAG